GCUAGUAACAUGCUUUUAACAGUGCAUGAGAGGUUAAGUAGAUACGUGGUACACAAGCUUAAACAAAUCGGUUCUAUCACAAAUAUGGCACACUAGCUUAGUUAAAGAUGUCUGAAUCUGGGGUGCCAGGUUACUAUAUUGCAGGCUAUGAUAAUAUGCUAGCAAAAUUAUUAUGAAAUGCAAGUUGUAAAUACCCGUGAGGCCAAGUUCUGUGGCAAAGAUAACCAAGGCACCCCUACAGAAACAUAACAGCUUAAAGCACAUUAAAAUGAUGUGGCUUAAUAGGAGCCUAGUG